rnacentral:rRNA from 1 species
AGAGUUUGAUCAUGGCUCAGAACGUACGCUGGCGGCACGCCUAACACAUGCAAGUCGAACGAAGUAGCAAUACUUAGUGGCAGACGGGUGAGUAACAUGUAGGUAUCUGCCCUUUGGCCUGGAAUAACACGAGGAAACUUGUGCUAAUACCGGAUAAGUCUUUACGGAGAAAGCUUUAUGCACCAUUGGAUGAGCCUGCACUUGAUUAGUUUGUUGGUGGGGUAAUGGCCUACCAAGACUGUGAUCAAUAGCUGAUUUGAGAGGAUGAUCAGCCACAUUGGGACUGAGACACGGCCCAAACUCCUACGGGAGGCAGCAGUGGGGAAUCUUGCACAAUGGAGGAAACUCUGAUGCAGCGAUGCCGCGUGAGUGAAGAAGGCCCUUGGGUUGUAAAGCUCUUUCGUCGGGGAAGAAAAUGACUGUACCCGAAUAAGAAGGUCCGGCUAACUUCGUGCCAGCAGCCGCGGUAAUACGAAGGGACCUAGCGUAGUUCGGAAUUACUGGGCUUAAAGAGUUCGUAGGUGGUUGAAAAAGUUAGUGGUGAAAUCCCAGAGCUUAACUCUGGAACUGCCAUUAAAACUUUUCAGCUAGAGUAUGAUAGAGGAAAGCAGAAUUUCUAGUGUAGAGGUGAAAUUCGUAGAUAUUAGAAAGAAUACCAAUUGCGAAGGCAGCUUUCUGGAUCAUUACUGACACUGAGGAACGAAAGCAUGGGUAGCGAAGAGGAUUAGAUACCCUCGUAGUCCAUGCCGUAAACGAUGUGUGUUAGACGUUGGAAAUUUAUUUUCAGUGUCGCAGGGAAACCGAUAAACACACCGCCUGGGGAGUACGACCGCAAGGUUAAAACUCAAAUGAAUUGACGGGGACCCGCACAAGUAGUGGAGCAUGUGGUUUAAUUCGAAGAUACGCGCAGAACCUUACCAACACUUGACAUGUUCGUCGCGACUCUAAGAGAUUAGAGUUUUCGGUUCGGCCGGACGAAACACAGGUGCUGCAUGGCUGUCGUCAGCUCGUGUCGUGAGAUGUUGGGUUAAGUCCCGCAACGAGCGCAACCCUCACUUUUAGUUGCCAUCAUUAAGUUGGGCACUCUGAAAGAACUGCCAGUGAUAAGCUGGAGGAAGGUGGGGAUGACGUCAAGUCCUCAUGGCCCUUACGUGUUGGGCUACACACGUGCUACAAUGGUAUCUACAACAGGAAGCAAAACUGCGAAGUUAAGCAAAUCCCUAAAAGAUACCUCAGUUCGGAUUGCACUCUGCAACUCGAGUGCAUGAAGCUGGAAUUACUAGUAAUCGUGGAUCAGCGUGCCACGGUGAAUGCGUUCCCGGGUCUUGUACACACCGCCCGUCACACCAUGGGAGUUGGUUCUACCUUAAGGCAAGGUUUCAAACCCUUGACCACGGUAUAGUCAGCGACUGGGGUGAAGUCAUAACAAGGUAGCCGUA